rnacentral:misc_RNA from 1 species
GAUGAAGAACGUAGCGAAAUGCGAUAAGUAAUGUGAAUUGCAGAUUUCAGUGAAUCAUCGAAUCUUUGAACGCACCUUGCGCCUUGUGGUAUUCCACAAGGCAUGCCCGUUUGAGUAUCAUUAAAUCAUCAACUCUAAAACCUUUGUGGUUUUUUUUAGAGCUUGGUCUUGAGGGUUUUGCAGGCUUUUUUUUUUCGAGUCUGCUCCCUUUAAAUGCAUUAGCGAGACUUCCCUAUGCUGAACCGUCUCUUUGACGUGAUAAUUAUCUGCGUCGAAUUUUGGUUCUCGUUGGGCUUGCUUCUAAUCGUCUGUUAAAGACAAAACGGAUUUGGGUGCAUAUAUGCGCCUUUUUCCAAAACCUUUUUUUGAUCUCAAAUCGGGUAGGACUACCCGCUGAACUUAAGCAUAUCAAUAAGCGGAGGA